CACAAACUCACUGUGAUUGACAGCAUGAAGUGUGUUACCACAGCAACAGAGUUUGUGAUGACCAAUGAAAGACAGCGUGUAAUACUGAGCUGCAACACACACACUCACACACACACACACACACACACACACUCUGUCUCUCUCACGUACACACACACACACUCUGUCUCUCUCACAUUCACACACACUUUUAGAUUCUCAAAUCACUUCAUUCUAUGUGAUUUAUAAUCUUGUUUCCUCAAGGGCACCUAAAACAUAUCCCCACAAGGAGACUGGUAUCUGCUGGUAUCAUUAUCAGUGUGUGAUGAGUCUUACAGCAGAGCUCCGCUGCGACUGACGAUCACUCUGUGUGUACGGUGUUCACACUCAUCACAUCUGCUCAUAAACACAGACAGCCGCACAGUGAGACUGAUGAGGUGAUGCAGCACAGCUCCUCCUGUCUCCAGCUUCUCAGGGGCUCGUAUGGAGGACCACAGGGACGGGAGGUUUCUUUAAGCUGCUGGUUGCUAGGUGGCAGGCUGAAGAAGGACCUGAGUUAUAUCUUGAGUGAGCACCUCAGAAGAACAAGCUGCAGUGCUACAGCGAGUCCAGCAGAAACACUAAACACACACCAGAAACAACAACAACAAAAGGACAUUUUGUUAAUGAUUGACAUACAGUAGUCCACUAGGGAGCCUCAGCAAACCUCUAUGGGGACCUAAGAGUCUUAAAAUGAUUUUCAUUGAUCUAAUCACUAUCCUUAGAAACUGUAGCAGAUCUUGGCUAAAUACAAUACAAUACAAAUGACAUGUGUUGUUUGUGUAAGCAGCUGGUUAGUCAUCUCUUUAGGAUUUAGUUGUAUUCUGUUGGGCAUUUGAUGCCUGUAAACAACAGUGUACAGUAUAGCACAGAAAUGAAUGGAAAGAAAGAAUAAAAGAGCGUGUGAAAGCUGACUGUUGUUCCAGAAGGACUGCUUGAGAUCAGGAGCAGGACGUGCACAGAUUAAAAAGCUUGUCCUGUUUGAUUGCACGUUCUGCUGUGUGUCUGCUGCCAUGUGACGCUAAAUCCGGUAAACUGCUUCAAUCCUCCGGGUUUGAGGAUUAUAAUGAUUCUCUGAAUGUGAUGUAUUGGAAAGGGACUCGACGGUGUUCACAUGAAGAGACACAGAGUCUCAUCAGUUUCCUCACGCUUGUCGUGACACAGCAGCCACGGUAGUACUGUAUAACUGACACUGUUUUAUUUAUUUCUUUAUAAUAAAUAUUCCCAAACCUGUUAACUAUAUCAUGAAAUGUAUCGAUUCUCAGAUAUGUAAAAGUGUAUGCAUUUUGCACCUUUAUGGAUUAUUGAUCUAUAAUGGAUGAUAGGCAAAGUACCCUAAUACUGUAAUCUAUUAACUAGCAAUAAAAACGUUUUACUUGCG
ensembl:lncRNA